rnacentral:rRNA from 1 species
GAGUUUGAUCCUGGCUCAGGAUGAACGCUAGCGGCAGGCCUAACACAUGCAAGUCGAGGGGCAGCAUAGAUUGCUUGCAAUCUGAUGGCGACCGGCGCACGGGUGAGUAACGCGUAUGCAACCUGCCUUCUACAGGAGGAUAGCCCCCGGAAACGGGGAUUAAUACUCCAUAGUAUUGCGUCAACACAAGUUGAUGUUCUUAAAGCUUCGGCGGUAGAAGAUGGGCAUGCGUCCUAUUAGCUUGUUGGUAAGGUAACGGCUUACCAAGGCAUCGAUAGGUAGGGGGCCUGAGAGGGUGGCCCCCCACACUGGUACUGAGACACGGACCAGACUCCUACGGGAGGCAGCAGUGAGGAAUAUUGGUCAAUGGAGGAAACUCUGAACCAGCCAUGCCGCGCGCAGGAAGAAUGCCCUAUGGGUUGUAAACUGCUUUUAUUUAGGAAGAAUCCCCAGUACGUGUACUGGGUUGACGGUACUAAACGAAUAAGGACCGGCUAACUCCGUGCCAGCAGCCGCGGUAAUACGGAGGGUCCAAGCGUUAUCCGGAAUCAUUGGGUUUAAAGGGUCCGCAGGCGGACUAGUAAGUCAGUGGUGAAAUCUCUCAGCUUAACUGGGAAACUGCCAUUGAUACUGUUAGUCUUGAAUUCGGUCGAAGUGGGCGGAAUGUGUCAUGUAGCGGUGAAAUGCAUAGAUAUGACACAGAACACCGAUAGCGAAGGCAGCUCACUAGGCCUGAAUUGACGCUCAGGGACGAAAGCGUGGGGAGCGAACAGGAUUAGAUACCCUGGUAGUCCACGCCGUAAACGAUCAUUACUCGAUAUCAGCGAUAUACUGUUGGUGUCUAAGCGAAAGUG